rnacentral:rRNA from 1 species
UACGUAGGGGGCAAGCGUUGUCCGGAUUUAUUGGGCGUAAAGAGCGUGUAGGCGGCUUUACAGGUCCGUUGUGAAAACUCGAGGCUCAACCUCGAGACGCCGGUGGAAACCGUAAGGCUAGAGUCCGGAAGAGGAGAGUGGAAUUCCUGGUGUAGCGGUGAAAUGCGCAGAUAUCAGGAGGAACACCGGUGGCGAAGGCGGAUCUCUGGGCCUGUCCUGACGCUGAGGCGCGAAAGCUAGGGGAGCGAACAGG